CACACCCUUAGAGUUUGAUCCUGGCUCAGGAUGAACGCUAGCUACAGGCUUAACACAUGCAAGUCGAGGGGCAGCGGUAUCGAAAGCUUGCUUUCGGUAGCCGGCGACCGGCGCACGGGUGAGUAACGCGUAUCGAACCUGCCUCAUACUCGGGAAUAGCCUUGCGAAAGUAAGAUUAAUGCCCGGUGUUUUCAGAGUCCCGCAUGAGGCUUUGAACAAAGAUUUAUCGGUAUGAGAUGGCGAUGCGUCCCAUUAGCUUGUUGGCGGGGUAACGGCCCACCAAGGCAUCGAUGGGUAGGGGUUCUGAGAGGAAGGUCCCCCACAUUGGAACUGAGACACGGUCCAAACUCCUACGGGAGGCAGCAGUGAGGAAUAUUGGUCAAUGGGCGGAAGCCUGAACCAGCCAAGUAGCGUGCAGGAAGACGGCCCUCCGGGUUGUAAACUGCUUUUAGUUGGGAAUAAAACGGGGCUCGUGAGCCCCCUUGCACGUACCAUCAGAAAAAGGACCGGCUAAUUCCGUGCCAGCAGCCGCGGUAAUACGGAAGGUCCGGGCGUUAUCCGGAUUUAUUGGGUUUAAAGGGAGCGCAGGCGGACCUUUAAGUCAGCUGUGAAAUACGGCGGCUCAACCGUCGAACUGCAGUUGAUACUGGAGGUCUUGAGUGCACACAGGGAUGCUGGAAUUCAUGGUGUAGCGGUGAAAUGCUCAGAUAUCAUGAAGAACUCCGAUCGCGAAGGCAGGCAUCCGGGGUGCAACUGACGCUGAGGCUCGAAAGUGCGGGUAUCAAACAGGAUUAGAUACCCUGGUAGUCCGCACAGUAAACGAUGAAUACUCGCGGUUUGCGAUACAGUGUAAGCCGCCAAGCGAAAGCGUUAAGUAUUCCACCUGGGGAGUACGCCGGCAACGGUGAAACUCAAAUGAAUUGACGG
rnacentral:rRNA from 1 species